GAUGAACGCUGGCGGCGUGCCUAAUACAUGCAAGUCGAACGAGGUGCUUUCGUAGCAAUACGAGAGUAUCCUAGUGGCGAACGGGUGAGUAACGCGUUGGUGACCUGCCCCAAAGUGCGGGAUAACAGUCCGAAAGGAUUGCUAAUACCGCAUGUGGUUAUCGGGUUUAGAAACCGAUAACUAAAGAAGCAAUUCGCUUUGGGAGGGACCUGCGUCCCAUCAGCUAGUUGGUGAGGUAACGGCUCACCAAGGCGACGACGGGUAGGGGACCUGAGAGGGUGACCCCCAACAAUGGAACUGAAACACGGUCCAUACACCUACGGGUGGCAGCAGUAGGGAAUAUUGCACAAUGGGCGAAAGCCUGAUGCAGCAACGCCGCGUGUGCGAUGAAGGCCUUCGGGUCGUAAAGCACUUUUCUGCGAGAUGAGAAAGGACAGUAUCGUAGGAAUAAGUCUCGGCUAACUACGUGCCAGCCGCCGCGGUAAGAC
rnacentral:rRNA from 1 species